CUGUUUCAGCAGCAAGUAUACUAAAGUUGGAACAAUACAGAGAGGGUUUGCACGGCCCCCGAGGAGGGGGUGACACAGGAAUUUGUGAGGCGUUCCAUAUUUGA
ensembl:snRNA U6 U6 spliceosomal RNA